CAUGGUUUACAACAUUGUGGCAGAUUGACGCAUCAACAAAUUCAAUGGAGCCUUUUUCAUAUUCGACCAAUCGGAUGGACCUCUUUUAUAUAGACGUGGGUCAUUUGAAAGAUAAUUUACAUUUUGUUGAACUAUACGGACUCCGCCAUGUUGGAGCCAGAUAACACCAGUAAGCAGUGAUUGGUCCGACUCGGUUUGAGUCAUUGCUCUGGAAUCUACUCUCGCCAAUCAGGAGGCAGUUUGUUGGAAGGCCACACCUCUACCAUUUAAAAGCAGUCUACACAAAAUCUGUCAAAUGUUUAAAACAUUUUACAUGGGGCUUAAAGGCUCCGCCUACUUUUAGUGAGGCAUAUGAUUGGUCAGAUUAUACUUGAAAAGGAGGAUUAUCAAGAAGAUGCUAAAACAGUUAUCAGAUCUAGAAUGUUUCUUCUGACCAAAAGAAUGACUGAAUAACAGCUGUUUAUUUUUCUUUAGAAGUCUACGGGAUUUUGGCUUCUUGGAGCCACUUCCUGUUUUGGGGGGUUUCCUUCUUUUUGUUCAAUAUCUUUCUUGGUUAGCUUUCAGGGCCACAAACCACCUUUUUUUUCUGGAUCUUGUAGAACGUUCGUAGAAAUGAUCACAUUUAAAACCCUACAAAGUCGUUCUCUAACAACCACUUCAAAGGUCUCGCAAGGACCAAAGCGCUCAGCGGAACCGCAGAUCAUUACGGCGUCAACGCCUGUUAGCGGUUCUGUCGUUAAGGAGCCGUGCAGCUCACCUUCGGCGUGCAGGGACGCUGAUCCUGUCAGUCACCUUUGUCGCCGUGACAACAGAGACUUGGGUUCAACUUGCUCUGACAGCAGUCGGACGGAGAGCACAGAGGGAAGGUCACCUCUUGUCAUGUCAGACAACAUGUCGCUCACACACGGAUGCAGGCGUGCCAGCUCUCACACAGGCUCAAACGCACAACCAGACCGUAUGGAUUUCCGCCUCUCAGGCUCACGCGGCGCGACAGACAGACUUCUGUUAAGUGGUGAGAGCUCGGGGAUGGUAAAUAAAUCAGUAACUGUGCAAUAUGCAAAAAACAAGAGCGUGUUCACGCCCGUCAUCCACAAACACAGAGCCUGAGGUUUUUCAGCAUUCUAUGAUCAACACGUUUCAGACACAAAAGGGAACCGGAGCCGUUCAAACAACAUUUCUGGAGAUCUUUAAAUGGGUGCAAUCAGGAGGUAAGAAUCCAGGAUUUAUCCCCUUUAUUGAAAGCCUCAGUUGAUGCUAAAUUGGCCAAAACAUCUAGUAUGUAAUGAAAAUAUUAGCUAAAUUCCAAAAUAGUCCAAAAACUUUAGUAGACGUCAAAAUUGACAAAAAAAA